CCUCAAUUUUCUGCUGUGGAAACCCAGCAAAUACAGACCACACAAUCUCUAUUAUCUCUCAUCAGAACCACCUCUCUCAUUCCUCAUUCUUCAACUCAACCUUCAACUUUCUUCUUCUUCUUCUACUUUUGAUUCUCAAACACCUUAAGCAUUUUUGGUUUCUACCAUUCUAAAAUCAUUUCUAUUUUACGAAAUUGCAACUUUAUUUUUCAUUCUUGCUUUUUCUUUAGAUUGGACUCUACGUGUUUGAUUUUAACGAAUCACGUUUUUGUUUUUUUAGGUUAUUCAAGUGUCAUCUGUUGCUUUCUAGCUAGGUUCUUCGUGAACUAAAGAUAUGAAGGUUUCUAGGAAUCUUGAUGGAGAUAACUUUAUGGGUUUCAAUCUUCUAUUGAAAAAUGUGAAUAAAGGUUCAACCAUUUUGUCAAGGAACUGGUUCAAUAUUGUUGGUCAGAGACAAAUUAAAUAGAAACAAUGUGGGUUGGUUUAAUUCCUAGAUAGAGAAUUUCUUGUACAUUUUGGUCCUCAAGCUGUAGCUUUUAGAGCAAAAGAUGAGUGGGGUUCAGAAGAGGUUAUUUUGUGGCUAAAUCUGGUUCUGAAGCAGCUGCAGCAAGGAUUGAUAAGGAGAAAAUAUGGUCAAGACUGACAACAUCUGAAAUCAUUGAGGUCCAUUUGUGAAAGAACUAGGUGGUAUGGGAAAAACGAUUGUGAUUUGCAUCAGCCCGGGUCUCAAUAAUUUUGGAGUCGGGCGGUGUAGAAGGGAUAGUUAAAUUUGAGCCUUCAGUAUUCGUAGAUUGUGAGCAGUGUGGAAUAGAAUAAGACUUGUAGUUUUGCAUUGUACCUUUAUUUAUUUGUUUGUAGAUAUGUUUCAGUUGUUGUCUAAUGUAGAAAACAGGUUGGGGUAGCAUUGCAGGAAGUUGGGUCUGAUGUGGUCUUUUGGUUAUUGGCUUCUAAUUCCGGUUCGGAUGGUGAUUUUAUGUCCGGAAUUAUGUUCGGAUGGUGUAUACUUUGGAAAUGGAAACAUCACCUGAUUUCACAAGUGGUCAUCAAGUCAUAUACAAUAUAUAUAGGUGGUAGCUUGCUUGUCGAUUCUAGCGGCUCUACUCGCUGUGGUAGCCAGAUUAUACAGAUCACGAACGGCUAUUUCUCCACUCAAGCGAAUGAAAAUUUUGCUACAGGUUAAUUUGUUUGGUAGUUUAGAUUUACAUAGGUAUCAUUUCUUCUUGCUUUUAUAUGUCAGGACAAAGAUUAGACUGUAUAUCAGCA